rnacentral:lncRNA from 1 species
GCUGAGCUUUGAACUCAGCUGUGACCAAGGGCGGAGCUAGGAUUAUAAUUUACUAUGAAAAAUUUUAAUGAAUUACGAAAAAAAUUCUUCAUGUACCAUGACAUGAAGGAAUUAUAUGUUUUCCUCUCUUAUCUCCUCCAUGUGCCAUCAUAAAAAAUUCUUGUUGCAGAGAUGUACAAAUUUAGGGAUUCAAACAGCACAAAACCCAAUUGGGUAAUUAAAACCAUCAACUCUUGAAACAAAGAUAAUUACAAGAAAACCCAAUCAUCAAUAGCCUCCCAAAUAUAGAAAUCCAAACAGCAGUAUACCCAAUUUUCUAAUUAAAACCUUCAACUCACAAAAUCCAUUUCAUAAAAUUGCAAAUUGGGUCCUGUGACAG